AUUAUUAUGACAUAAAAUAUGAAUUAAUAUUGAUAAAAAAUUAAUUGAAAGUGAGUAGAGAAGAAGAGAAAAGAAAAUACAAUAAAAUGCCAAUUAUGACAUAUUAUGAGGUCAUUUAAAAUUGUCCACCAAUCACAAUUAAGUAACCAUCAAAUUAACUAAUAAAAAGAGUCAAAAGAGACCAAAGAAUUAAAAAGCAAACAGCAGCCCUUCUUCUCCUUCAAAAACGUUUUUCACCUCCUCCCUCACUCCUCCAUUAACAAACUUUCUAAAGCUUCAAUUUCCAUGCUUUCCUCACCCCAAAACCCUAAGUCCCUUCACUAAAAACUUGUCUCUACCUCUUGGGAAGUGUUUGGCAGCCUAGAAAGGGAAAGAAAGUGAAGAUUAACUUGGGAAAAUUCUGCCCUACAAGAGGUUAGUGCACAUAUAUACUUAAAACUCUUUAAUCCCAUGCUAGAGACUUGAAACAAGUAUGAAUUUGUAACUUAAAUGAAUAAAAGUUAUGUGUAUGUCCACCAUGAUUUUUGGCAGCCCUAAAGAAGGAACAUGAUUGAGUGUCUUGAUGGACUUAGAGUGAACUAGA
rnacentral:misc_RNA from 1 species